GUCUUUAAGAAAUUAAUUUAAAGUCAAAUCUGCCCAAUGAUCUUAUUAAAUGGCUGCAGAAUUUUUACUGUACUAAGGUAGCAUAAUAAUUUGUUUUUUAAUUAAAAACUAGAAUGAAAGAUUUAAUGAAAUAUAAGCUGUUUCAAUUAAAUUUUAUAUUAAAAUUUUUAUUUAAGUAAAAAAACUUAAAUAAAUUUUAAAGACGACAAGACCCUAUAGAAUUUUAUUUAUUAAUUUUAUAAUAAAAUUUUAUAAAUUUUAUUGGGGUAAUAAAAAAAUUAAAUUAAUUUUUUUUAAAAAUAACAAUUUUAUUGAAUUACAUAUCUUAAUUUUUAAAUUAAAAAAAUUAAUUACCUUAGGGAUAACAGCAUAAUUUUUUUUAAAAGAUCUUAUUAAUAAAAAAGAUUAU
rnacentral:rRNA from 1 species